rnacentral:piRNA from 1 species
ACUGGAAGGUGAAAUAAAGAC